GAUGAAGAACGUAGCGAAAUGCGAUAAGUAAUGUGAAUUGCAGAAUUCAGUGAAUCAUCGAAUCUUUGAACGCACAUUGCGCCCGCCAGUAUUCUGGCGGGCAUGCCUGUCCGAGCGUCAUUUCAACCCUCGAACCCCUCCGGGGGGUCGGCGUUGGGGAUCGGCCCUUUACCGGCCGGCCCCGAAAUACAGUGGCGGUCUCGCCGCAGCCUCUCCUGCGCAGUAGUUUGCACACUCGCACCGGGAGCGCGGCGCAGUCCAAUGCCGUAAAACACCCAACUUUCUGAAAUGUUGACCUCGGAUCGGGUAGGAAUACCCGCUGAACUUAAGCAUAUCAAUAAGCGGAGGA
rnacentral:misc_RNA from 1 species